CUUUAUUGUGGCGGUGAGCACAGUUGAAACCCUUCCUCUGGUACUCUGGCAUGGUGGCUAGAAGUCUUGAUAAACACAGCACCAAAUGACACUUCCCUCACAAUGAACAGGUCUCACUGUGAACAAAGUGCAGCUGUCCAGUGGCUCUAGGACAGGUAACAUGCAGCCAUUCCCCCGGUCUACAUCCAGACUCCUAGCCAUGGAGCAGAGCCAGGCAUGGCCAGCUGGACCCCGACCAGCACCAGGCCCGGGGACAAGGCCUCCACCUACAGCCUGGCCAACUGGCUCCACACCACGCCGCAACAACUACUGCCAUGGGAGCGGUCUAUGUUAUCACCGGCCUCACCACCGCCAGUAACACCAGUCGGAGAGCUGUCCACUGUCUCUGACACUGGCGAGUUGCAGGCAUUCCCGUGUGGCUACAUGCACUGGCCGUGCUGGAAAACUACACCAAUGCCAAACUUUACAAACAUGGCCACCUCAACCCUGACGACCACCAGACUGACCCAGACCACAAGAACUCCACCUAAACACUGACCAAUGUGGUGCCUCAGGUCUGAGAAUUCAGCGCCGGCACCUGAGAGGAACAGGAGCACGUCAUCCACAAGCGCCUCAACAACUACUGCCGCUGCGCCACCUACAUUAUCACCAGAAUCGGUGAACAUGAUCCGGUGCCAUGACAUCAACAUUACAGCCAUCUAGGCCAGAUUGUUCUUCAAGACAUUUACAUUCUAGUCAUUUAGCAGACGCUGUUAUCCAGAGUAAUUAGGAUUAAGUGCUUUGCUCAACUGCGAAUCGACAGAUUUUUCAUCUAGUCGGCUUGUGGAUUCAAACCAGCAACCCUUCGGUUACUGGCCCGAUGCUCUUAACCGCCAGGCUAUCUGCCAUCCGUGAACUAUUGCUUGCUUGCUCCAGUUGUUCACUCAACAGCUCAGGGAACCUGGGCACCUGGAACAGGCAAGUGCUAACGUCAACACUUGCUACAGUGGUCCCUAACAGUAAGCCAGGCCUGGAGUGCCACCAGGCAGAGCCCGGCCGUUGUGUCUGAUCGGCUGGGUGGGUCUGCCUUCGGGUCUGAAGCAUAGUGAGGAGGAUGUGGAGGGCCAUUAUAUCCUUUACCGGACAUUUAAAUGUUAACAGAUGAUAGAUGAUCAACCUGGAACUGAGUCAGUUGUGUUUGGUGUGAUGUUAUUUGAAAGCCAAGAAAAAAUGAAAAAUGUAAAAGUACAUUACAAUGAUAUAUUUGACUUUAUGGGGACUGAAUGCUGAGUUAAGGCUGCCAGGCUUGCUAGGACAGACCAGAUACAACUUCAAUUAGCACUGAGGUGUGAAGUGAAAGGUGUCAAGAUCUUUGGGCCCCAACAAGAGGCAGGAGUCUUUGAAGUCCCCUUUGAAGCCCCCUUCUGUCACGCCCUGGCCAAAGAGAGGCUUUUAUUCUCUAUUUUGGGUAGGCCACGGUGUGACUAGGGUGGGCAUUCUAGUUUAUUUAUUUCUAUGUUUUCUGUUUCUAUGUUUUGGGUUUUGGGUUUGGUUCUCAAUCAGGGACAGCUGUCUGUUGUCUCUGAUUGGGAAUCAUACUUAGGCAGCCUUUUUUCCUUUGUAUUUUGUGGGUAGUUAUCUUUGGUAGUGGCACUAUAGCCCUCGUAAGCGUCACGGUCGUUUCUUUGUUUCUUGUUUUGUUGGCGACAUUUAUAUAAAUAAAUAAAUGUACGCUCACUACGCUUCACCUUGGUCCGGUCAUUUCCACCCCGACAAUGGCCGUGACACCUUCUGCUGUUGAUAGAGCAUCCACUGGCAUUUUCUACAAGAAAUCUGCCUCCAGAAGUAAAAGCUGGGUGGGUGUGACACCUACUCCUGUUGCCUGCUGCACUGCUGCUUGGAUUCCACCUGGCGAUCUGU